rnacentral:hammerhead_ribozyme from 1 species
AUCGGCUGAUGAGUCCUAACUAGGACGAAACUAGAGUCUUGGAU